rnacentral:rRNA from 1 species
UUGGGCCUACGGGACGCAGCAGUGGGGAAUAUUGGGCAAUGGGCGCAAGCCUGACCCAGCAACGCCGCGUGAAGGAAGAAGGCUUUCGGGUUGUAAACUUCUUUUAUGAGGGACGAAAGAAAUGACGGUACCUCAUGACUAAGCCACAGAUAACUACGUGCCCGCAGCCGCGGUAAUACGUAGGUGGCAAGCGUUAUCCGGAUUUACUGGGUGUAAAGGGCGUGUAGGCGGGACUGCAAGUCAGAUGUGAAAAUCAUGGGCUCAACCCAUAACCUGCAUUUGAAACUGAAGUUGUUGA